rnacentral:lncRNA from 1 species
UAAAACUGAUCAUCCUGAGGAUAUUGCCCUUGGAGUUAAUUUUUUGAGAGAAAUAAAACAAUAAACAUCAUAAGACACAAACCCCAAGCAACUGAUCUCACUGUUAAAAUCCAACCUGAGAACAAUGGAAUGGACCAUACUGUCUUUGUCACAACUCUGCCAUUGCAGCGUGAAAGCAUCCAUAGACGGUACACAAAUGCAUGGAUGUAGU